ensembl:lncRNA
UGGAUACCCCCAGGGUGGAGCAGGAGGAUACCCCCAGGGUGGAGCAGGUGGAUACCCCCAGGGUGGAGCAGGUGGAUACCCCCAGGGUGGAGCAGGUGGAUACCCCCAGAGUGCAGGAAAACCAGGCAAAGCUGGCGGUGGUGAGUCUUUUACUUUGUCGCCAUGUUUUUCUCUUUAUUUCUCUCUUUCUUUCUUCUCCCUCUCUCUCUCUCUCUCUCUCUUUCUAUUCUCUUUUUUCUCUUUCACUCUCAUUUGCCCUCUUCCUCUCUCUCUCUCUCUCUCUCUCUCUCUCUCCCUCUCAGGUGCUAAUCUGGGACAGGGAGGAUAUCCCCAGGGUGGAGCAGGAGGAUACCCCCAGGGUGGAGCAGGCAAAUCAGCGGGUUAUGGUGAUCAAAUGGGAGGAGCAUACCCCGGGGCUGGAGCGGGCAACGGCUAUGGGAAUGGUGGAGGCCCAGCUGGGGGGGCCAAUGCAGUGCCUGCAGGCUAUGGCAAUGGCUACGGUGCUAGUACUGGAGGCAAUGGUUAUGGACCCGGGAUUGGGUACCCAACAGUGUUAGCGGAUGGUGCUGCUGGGCUGGGAGGCAAGGCAGGGAAGGGAGCAGGAGGGGGUGGAGUCAGUCAGCUUCCUUACAAUGGAGCCCCAGUCAAUACUGCUGGACUGGAUGCAGGUGAUGGAAGCUUCCCUUAUGGUGCUCAGCAACUGGGCCUUGGUGGUGGUGAUGGAGGCAAAUCCUCUGGCAAAUAUGGAAACGGAGGGGGCUUUGGAGCACAGCCAGCAGGUGAUUAAACUCACACUCACAACCACAUCCCCUACACUGCUUGCCUCAGGAAAUUAUGUGUGUGGUAACUGCUUAAGGUGUGAAUGCAUGUGGGUGAGGAAGAGCACACAUUUUUCAGUGUUAGUCUGUUGUGCGUGUUCUGUGCGUGUCUUGUAAAUGUCCCUUGUGUCUGUGUGUCCUGUUUGUGGUAAAUAUUGUUACGACUCAUCUUGUCACUGCUUAGGCUAUGGUCAAGGACAGCUGGGUGCAGGUCAGAGUGCCCCCUACAGUAACGGUAAGUUAUAUAGUCACAUUCCCUGACUGAAAGUCCUGCUCUCUUCUGUCAGAAUAACCAUAUUAGUUCCUAUCAGUAGAGGCUGGUGAGGUGAGAACGGCUCAUAGUAAUGGCUGGAAUGGAGUAGAUCCAUUCCAGCUGUUAUAGUAAUUAUCGUAUAGAGAGGGAGAUUAUUGGUUGGAAUGGAGUGGAUGGAAUGGAAUGAAAUGUGUUGCAUUCCAUUUCAUUGACUCCAUUCCAGCCAUUACUGUAAACCAUCCUCCCCUCACCAGCCUCCACUGGUUCCUACAUCUAACCAGGGAUGUCCAUUAACACCGUUGCAUUUUUGUUUGUUUUGUUGUCUGCUGAAAUAACAAAACCUAAACCUCUGACUGUGUGUCUCCUUCAGGAGCAGGAGGGAAGGAAAGCAAAUAUGGUGGUGGUGGACUGACUGGAUUCUUUGGAAAUGGAGGGUACAAAGGUGGGUGGGAUGWGUGUUUGUUACUCAUUUAUGCUUGUCUCUGUGACUGAGCACAUYAAGUCACCUUACUAGUCAUUUAGAUCAGAGCUUCAUGAUCUACCUUGUUUUAUUGUCCUCUUUAACCAGCUGCUUCACUUAACAACAUUUSUUKUCUCUCUCUCUUUCUCUGUCCAGGUUAAGUCAAUCAGCUGAGGCCUUCUUGAAGUGAAUAUUUGUUCCGUUCAGUCAUGUGUUCAUGGUGAUGUUUGUUGUUUGGUCUGUUGUUACAUUUAACUAUUCCAUUUUUGUUCUGUAUUUGUCUGGUUUUUUGUUCAUGGUCCUUGUCUUUUGUGUUGUUGUGUGUCUGUCCCCUCUCUUCCUCUACUGGRUUUGGAGAUUGUGUUGCCAGUGUGUUUGUGUUCAUAUCCAUUUCACACUAAAGGGCAGAAAGCAACCACAUAAUGUCUGUCAGUCUCCUCAUUCUUUUAACCUUGGCACCAGUAUUGUAAAUGUACUGUACAUGUGAUGUGGGGGUUGAGUUUUAAGACUGAAGCUCUAUGAGUUUAAAUCAACACCAAAUAAAAUAAAAUUCAAAGACAUGUUCCCAAAACCUGACACCUGAGUUCUUCUGAGGUCAUUAUAAAGGGGGAUAUUCUCUGGGAUAUUGUGAUGGACAGUACAUACAGAAGAUGUAAUGUGUAUGAAAAACUAUUCCUUAAUACCUCAGUAUGCCCGUGUUUUUUGUUCAUGACAUAGUACUUCUUAUGUUACUGUAUUGCUAUUACUGACAAUGUAUCCCCAAAGACCUUUAUCAUGUUCCACAACGGAAAUAGUUUUGUCAUUAUCUCAACACGGCAGUUUGUUUCAUUCGUCUUUUGCAUGGCGUCACCUGAACUUCAUCCGUGCACAGGAAACCAUAGCCCUUCCUCUCUCAAGUAAUGCAACUGUGCCUUCAAACAACUGAUGUCUCACAUACAGUAAACGAAACCAAAUGCAACAUAACGUAAC